rnacentral:lncRNA from 1 species
UGACAACAAGUCGAAGGUAGAUAAUGAACAGAGUAAGGACGGAAAUAAGAUUGAAAAUGAGGAUAAGAAGAAUGCUGCUGAUAAGGAGAGUGUGAGUGUGAAUGAUAUAGAACAAUCUACGGAAGAAAAAAAUACCGAGAACAAUGAUAAGAACGAAAAUAGUGAAAGCAAGGAUAAGGAAGAUAACAAAGUAAGUAACGAGCCUACUGCUGAAGGUGGCGCUUUAAAAUCAUUUCAACAGCUUUCGAGUAGUCAAAAUGCCUUCACAGGUCUUGCUGGAACCGGAUUUUCUUCUUCUCUGUUUUCUUUCGGACCUAUAUCAAGUGACGGGUCUGCUUUGGGUAGUGGGUCCGGUUCUAUAUUUGGAAUGAAAACUGACAGGCCUUUGGGUCUGGGUUUAUCUAACACUGGAAGUUCUGUUACUAAGAGCGAUGGAAGUGGCGUCUCAACACUGCAGGAAGUUGUCGUUGAAACUGGCGAAGAAAAUGAGGAAGUAGUUUUCAAUGCAGAUUCAGUGUUGUUUGAAUUUGCAGACGGUGGUUGGAAGGAACGUGGAAAGGGAGAGGUGAAAGUCAAUGUAACUAGUGGAACAGAAAAGAAAGCAAGAGUUCUUAUGAGGUCUAGAGGAAAUUACAGACUGAUUUUAAACGCCCGGCUUUACCCUGAAAUGAAACUCACAAAUAUGGAGAAGAAAGGGGUUACCUUUGCGCCAGCAGACUAAUCCUGCUCCUUCUUCACACCCUUUUGCUGCAAUCCGGUUGGCUGCCCCUGCUGAAUCCAACGCCAAGCCUGGUGAAGCUGCUACCGUAACACAACCAGAGAAAGCUAAAGAUGAAGAAACUAAGCAGCCAGAGGGCGAAACUCGUGAGGUGGAGGACAAAUCUACUUCAAAUAACGAUGCUGCAGAAAAAAGCAAUGAAAAGAAGGAGCUUGCCGAGAAGGAGAGUGAUGGUGACAACAAGUCGAAGGUAGAUAAUGAACAGAGUAAGGACGGAAAUAAGAUUGAAAAUGAGGAUAAGAAGAAUGCUGCUGAUAAGGAGAGUGUGAGUGUGAAUGAUAU